UUCCUAGAGCUGGGCAUUUCUGUAGGCACUUUAUGUUUCUACUUUGUAAAGCUUGAGCUUUAGCACACCAUAGGCUGCCCAAUUCUGUUUUUAUUACUAAUUUAAGCCUAUACUGGAAACCAAAAA
rnacentral:lncRNA from 1 species